rnacentral:lncRNA from 10 species
AUUAAAGUGAGAUGAUGUCAUAUGGGUAGGGUCCUAAUUUGAUAGGAUUGGUGGCCUUAUCAGAAGAACAAUGUCAUGGGCAUGCACAGAAAGGAGGUGGCCGUCUGCAAGCAGGGAAGAGGCCCCUCACCAGAACCUGAGGGUGCUGGCAGCUUGGCUUUGGCCUUGGGCAUCCAGCCUCCAGAACCAUGAGAAAUAAAUGUUUAUGGUAGGUCUAUGAUGGCAGCCUGCUUGGACUGAACCGGCGGUGAGACAGGGCUUCAUGCAGGAGCAGACCUUUGAGCUGGGCCUUGAAAGCUGAGGCAGGAGAAUUGCUUGAACCUUGGCGUUUGAGGCUGAGGUGAGCUAUGAUGGCACCACUGCACUCCAUCCUGGGUGAUAAAGCAAGAUCCUGUCUCUAAGAA